rnacentral:lncRNA from 1 species
GUGUGUGGUGGAGCGGCUCGGCUCCCCGCUGUGCUUGGGCUUGGCGUGUGUCAAGGAGCUCCAGCACAAAGCUCUGCCGGCCGAACUGUGCUGACCCAGUAGCUGCCCUUCCUUCCACAGGAAUGAAGUAGUGAACAGCAGCAGCCUGUGAGGAGCUUUGCUGCUAUUCAGAAGCCGGUGGGGUGAUGUUGCAGCUUCCAGGAGCUGAGGGUUCAAAUCCAAGAAAGGGCUUGGAGUGAAGUGAAUCCUCUAAACAAGGAAGUCUUUUCUCAUGACACCUCGUGGUCUUGGUGCUGGGAGGAGAGCAGGGUGAGCCCUGCUUUCCCCACUGUUGGAGAUGCGUGCUGGGACCCCUCGCCUCCCCUGCUGUUCCCCCUCCCUGCUCGCGGGCACCGCGCUGACGCCUCGGUGAGAUCAGACGCUUUGCUCAGGGUCCCCUCGGUGCCGAGGGACUGCAGCGUUAGCCCAGGUCAUGUUUUAAUUUAGACCGGCCGCUCAUCUCGCUUCCCGACCGCAACCACCUUCUUUUCUAUUUAUACCAGCCUGAUGCUCCGCUGAUGCCAUCCCCUCUCGGCAGACGGGCAAUUCACAGCGAUUGCUGAAAGAGGAGAGGCCGAAGGGGAAUUCUGGGCUCCGAGCUCGGCCCGCGGCGCGGCUCGCCCGCGUUUCUGCACGAGGGGGAGGGCAGGUGAGGCACGGCGGGGGUUAACGGAGCCUGAGCAGCCCGGUGGGACAGGGCUGAACUGGGUCCGUUCCCUCCUUCCCCUCCCAGGAAGCGAUGCU